rnacentral:rRNA from 1 species
GAUGAACGCUGGCGGCGUGCCUAAUACAUGCAAGUCGAGCGAACAGACGAGAGUGCUUGCACUCUCUGACGUUAGCGGCGGACGGGUGAGUAACACGUGGGUAACCUACCUAUAAGACUGGGAUAACUUCGGGAAACCGGAGCUAAUACCGGAUAAUAUUUAGCUUCGCAUGAAGCAAUAGUGAAAGACGGUUCUGCUGUCACUGAUAGAUGGACCCGCGGUGUAUUAGCUAGUUGGUGAGGUAACGGCUCACCAAGGCAACGAUACAUAGCCGACCUGAGAGGGUGAUCGGCCACACUGGGACUGAGACACGGCCCAGACUCCUACGGGAGGCAGCAGUAGGGAAUCUUCCGCAAUGGACGAAAGUCUGACGGAGCAAUGCCGCGUGAGUGAAGAAGGUUUUCGGAUCGUAAAACUCUGUUGUAAGGGAAGAACAAGUACGUUAGUAACUGAACGUACCUUGACGGUACCUUACCAGAAAGCCACGGCUAACUACGUG